rnacentral:tRNA from 1 species
ACCUUAUUUGUUCAGGGGCAGAGCGUCCGUUCUGUAAACAGAAGGUCGCAGGUUCCACUCCAGCAUGAGGCA